CAGGCCGUGAUGAAACACACGAUGCAAUCUGACUGCUUCUCCGUGCGGAAACCCAGAGGCUGUUUCUGAGCCG
rnacentral:snoRNA from 1 species